rnacentral:rRNA from 1 species
GCCUAACACAUGCAAGUCGAGCGGUAAGGCCUCUUCGGAGGUACACGAGCGGCGGACGGCUGAGUAACACGUAGGAACGUACCCCAAACUGAGGGAUAAGCACCAGAAAUGGUGUCUAAUACCGCAUGUGCUCUUCGGAGUAAAGCUACGGCGGUUUGGGAACGGCCUGCGUCCGAUUAGCUUGUUGGUGAGGUAAUGGCUCACCAAGGCGACGAUCGGUAGCUGGUCUGAGAGGAUGAUCAGCCAGACUGGGACUGAGAACGGCCCAGACUCCUACGGGAGGCAGCAGUGGGGAAUAUUGGACAAUGGGGGCAACCCUGAUGGAGCAACGCCGCGUGCAGGAUGAAGGCCUUCGGGUUGUAAACUGCUUUUCUCUGCGACGAAUAUGACGGUAGCAGAGGAAUAAGGAUCGGCUAAUUCCGUGCCAGCAGCCGCGGUAAU